AACGAACGCUGGCGGCAGGCCUAACACAUGCAAGUCGAACGAGAUCUUCGGAUCUAGUGGCGGACGGGUGAGUAACGCGUGGGAACGUGCCCUUCUCUACGGAAUAGUCCCGGGAAACUGGGUUUAAUACCGUAUACGCCCUUCGGGGAAAGAUUUCGGGGAAGGAUCGGCCCGCGUUGGAUUAGGUAGUUGGUGGGGUAAUGGCCUACCAAGCCGACGAUCCAUAGCUGGUUUGAGAGGAUGAUCAGCCACACGUGGGACUGAGACACGGCCCAGACUCCUACGGGAGGCAGCAGUGGGAAUCUUAGACAAUGGGGCAACCCUGAUUCUAGCCAUGCCGCGUGAGUGACCGAAGGCCAGGGU
rnacentral:rRNA from 1 species